rnacentral:rRNA from 1 species
AUUGAACGCUGGCGGCAGGCCUAACACAUGCAAGUCGAGCGAGCGGCGGACGGGUGAGUAAUGUCUGGGAACCUGCCCGAUAGAGGGGGAUAACUACUGGAACCGGUGGCUAAUACCGCAUACUAUCGGAUGAACCCAGAUGGGAUUAGCUAGUAGGUGGGGUAAAGGCUCACCUAGGCGACGAUCCCUAGCUGGUCUGAGAGGAUGAACAGCCACACUGGAACUGAGACACGGCCCAGACUCCUACGGGAGGCAGCAGUGGGGAAUAUUGCACAAUGGGCGAAAGCCUGAUGCAGCCAUGCCGCGUGUAUGAAGAAGGCCUUCGGGUUGUAAAGUACUUUCAGCGGGGAGGCGUUACCCGCAGAAGAAGCACCGGCUAACUCCGUGCCAGCAGCCGCGGUAAUAC